GACGAACGCUGGCGGCGUGCUUAACACAUGCAAGUCGAACGGAAAGGCCCUGCUUUUGUGGGGUGCUCGAGUGGCGAACGGGUGAGUAACACGUGAGUAACCUGCCCUUGACUUUGGGAUAACUUCAGGAAACUGGGGCUAAUACCGGAUAGGAGCUCCUGCUGCAUGUUGGGGGUUGGAAAGUUUCGGCGGUUGGGGAUGGACUCGCGGCUUAUCCGCUUGUUGGUGGGGUAGUGGCUUACCAAGGCUUUGACGGGUAGCCGGCCUGAGAGGGUGACCGGCCACAUGGGGACUGAGAUACGGCCCAGACUCCUACGGGAGGCAGCAGUGGAGAAUAUUGCACAAUGGGCGGAAGCCUGAUGCAGCAACGCCGCGUGCGGGAUGACGGCCUUCGGGUUGUAAACCGAUUUCGCCUGUGACGAAGCGUGAGUGACGGUAAUGGGUAAAGAAGCACCGGCUAACUACGUG
rnacentral:rRNA from 1 species